rnacentral:rRNA from 1 species
GACAGAGGUGCCGAGCGUUAGGCGGAAUCACUGGGCUUAAAGCGUGUGUAGGCGGACCGUUAAGUGUCUUGUGAAAUCCCCCGGCUCAACUGGGAGGGUGCGCUAUAGACUGUGGGGCUAGAGUGUGGGAGAGGAAAGUGGAAUUCCUGGUGUAGCGGUGAAAUGCGUAGAUAUCAGGAGGAACACCGGUGGUGUAAACGGCUUUCUGGACCAUAACUGACGCUGAGGCACGAAAGCGUGGGUAGCAAACAGG